CAGACUGACAGUGUCACAACUGUCUAAGUCCAAGUCCACGGCCCCCAGAGACGACGUGAGAGGAGUACAGGCAGGAAGUUCUGGCGGUAAUGAAGAAAAUGGGAUGGAAAGAGGAACAGAUGCUGCUUUAGUGGGAAAUGAAGAGCACCAUGAGCCCUGGUACCUCACUCUGCAAAGGAGAGGCCACAUCCAAAGGACCACGCGCACCUGCCCACUCUUCCCACGGCAGGACUGGUAACACAGAACUCAAGGAGAGGAAGCCAUCUCCAUCCCUGAGUGGAGAAUGUGCAUUUCAGGAAAGCAGCAGGUGACGGGAUCACGCGGCCCCGCGAGGCAGCCUCUGGGAAGGACAGGGAUGCUCCGAAGAAACGCUCAGAGAGUCAGCUCCACAGACAGGCAGCGGACUGGGGACUUAAAUCUGUUGCAAAGGAGGGAGGCGUCGAUGACAGAUGUGGAGGCCUAGGUCCCGGGGGCUGGCGAGAGAUGAAGAGGCGACACGUUCAUCAGUAGGCCUGCACAUGGUCAGCCGAGCAUGCUACAAGGCAUUCAUUAGCACCAGAGAGACGCUGCUUUCCUUCCUACCAGCCUCUUAAAUGGAGGUUGGUGUCCAAUGAAUUUGGCUUAGAGGGAGAUCUCGUUCAAACUUCGAACCUGCUGUACCAACCUGCGCCCUUCAGAAAAUGAGGACGGGAUGGUGAAAUCCUCAACUGGCUAGAGGUAGCAAGCAGGAGGGAUUCCAGGACUGCUCCCUGCUGGACGAAGUCACUGAUUCUGUAAAUGGGCGUGGGAGGCCCAACGAGGGCCAGAGACAGGAGAACUUGGAUCCGUCUUCCGCUGAGACUACACCCUGAUGUUCGUGUGGAUUAGGAAUCGGGACCAUCUUUGUUUACAAAGUCUGCUUAACGCGUUGAAGAGAGGAUGCAGCGAUGUGCUAACCUGCUCAUGCAAAGAACAAAGUCAAAGGCCAGUUGUAACUGUGGGUGGGUUAGCAGUUUAUCUGAGCAGGUGCUGAACAUUUGGAGAAG
rnacentral:lncRNA from 1 species